UGUAUCGUGGCAGGAGUCAGUCACUGCAGUCCUCGGGUUUCAGACAAGGACAGCAUGUUUUGACGCGCAAGGACAGCGUGGUGUUUUCAUCUCGACGUAAAAUGUCGCAAUGCUUGCGGAUAAGAAUAUGAAUGGCUAUCUUGGAAGUACGAGUUUCACGAUUGCGCAAGCUUCCUGGUUCGCGUGCAAAACAGCUGUUUGACGCCGUCUGCUGAGCGCGAGCUCGGACGCGACGCAAGGGGUUUGUUUCCCCUGCAGCUCCUUUUUUGGACGCGUCUUCCGGCCGAUGUUUCUCCGUGGCUGACCGUGCGUGGACAGCAUCAUGUGGCGGGCGCGGUGCCAGGACAGCGGGGUCGAUCCCGAGCGCGAGCGGCUCUGGGCCGAGCUCUUCGCGCAGCUGGAUCUGAAUAAGGACGGACGGAUCGAUGUGAACGAGCUGCGCGUCGGACUCGCCGCGCGGGGGAUGUCGUGGAGCUCGGUAGAGGAGCAGAUUGUCCGAGCUGGAGAUGUUAAUAAAGACGGUCAGCUGGAUUUUGAAGAGUUCACCGAGUAUCUGCGUUCACAUGAGAAACGCCUCAGACUCAUGUUUCGCAGCUUGGACCGAAACAAUGAUGGUGAACUGGACGUGGGGGAGAUCCAGCAGUCUUUACACAAUCUCGGCGUGGACGUCACGCUGGAGCAGGCCGCCAAAAUCCUGCAAAGUAUGGAUAAAGACCAAUCCAUGACCAUUGACUGGUUCGAGUGGCGAGAUCACUUCCUGUUCAACCCUCUGCUCAACAUGGAGGAAAUCGCUCAGUACUGGAAACACUCGGUGAUGUUGGACAUCGGGGAGCAUCUGACGGUCCCAGACGAGUUCUCAGAGAAGGAGAAGCAAUCAGGGUUCGUGUGGCGGCAGCUGAUGGCAGGAGCUGUGGCCGGAUCGGUGUCCAGGACAGGAACCGCGCCGCUCGACAGACUCAAGGUCUUUCUGCAGGUGCACGGCCAGAGCUCUGAUAAAGGGACUGUGUGGCGUGGUCUGCGUGCGAUGGUGAAGGAGGGCGGCCUCUCUGCGCUGUGGAGGGGGAACGGCAUCAACGUCCUGAAGAUCGCACCAGAGACAGCCAUCAAAUUCAUGGCCUAUGAGCAGAUUAAACGCUUGAUGAGAGGCAGUAAAGAGGGAGGAACGCUGAAAGUUCAGGAGAGAUUCGUGGCUGGAUCACUGGCUGGAGCUACGGCGCAAACUGUCAUAUACCCGAUGGAGGUGCUGAAGACUCGUCUCACUCUUCGUAAAACAGGACAGUAUUCAAGUGUGGCAGACUGUGCUAAACAGAUCCUGCAGAAGGAGGGCGUUCUGGCCUUUUAUAAAGGAUACCUGCCCAACAUGCUGGGCAUCAUCCCGUACGCUGGCAUAGACCUCGCCGUCUACGAGACGCUGAAAAACGCCUGGCUGCAGCGGUACUCGGAGGGCUCGCCCGACCCGGGCGUCCUGGUGCUGGUGGGCUGUGGGACUGCAUCCAGCACCUGUGGACAGCUGGCGUCCUACCCGCUCGCCCUCAUCCGAACACGCAUGCAGGCGCAGGCGUCAGUGAAGGGAGCUCCUCAGUUGUCCAUGCUGACCCUCUUCAGGAGUAUCGUGGCCCAGGACGGAGUGGUGGGUCUCUAUCGAGGCAUCGCUCCCAACUUCCUCAAGGUCAUCCCGGCGGUCAGCAUCUCAUACGUCGUCUACGAGCACAUGAGGAAAGUACUGGGAGUGGGAACCUGAGACAGAGAGAGAGAGAGAGACAGGUCAUGUGUGUGUGUAGAAAAAAUACAAUCAAAAACUUGUUUAUUUAAGCCUACAAUAUAUGAAAUCACUGGAGGGAUGUUCACCAAAAACAUUGGAUGUGAGGAAGAACAACAAACUGAAACCAAACACUGAAAUAUGCAGAAUCUUAGAGGUGCUGUUCUUACCCAAUCCUGAAUUACUGAGGUUCAUGAUGUGCUCUUCAUGUGUGUUUGUUGGUUAACAGGGCCCUGAUAUUCAGAUAUACAGGGUACGGCCGUCUGGAUGCGGUAAAAUGAACGUAAAGAAAAGUAUCGAGGAAUGCAAGGCUGAAGUUGCCACAGCAGUUUUAAAGUGUACUGGAUAUGAUUUUAACAUUAGUUAUUUUAAGGUUAGGAAUUUAGCUAGAUACUAAUGUUAUAAAGCAAACAGUAGAUGGGUGGUAUCUAAACACACUUAAUGACCUAACACUGGCAUACUAUCUUACUACAAACUCAGAAGUACUUUUACUCUCUACUUUGUACAUUCAGUGUGUAGUGUAGGCAUCUGAAAUGGGACGCAGCCUUGGAAUUCAGUUUAUAUAUCUUUUAUCCUCAAUGCAUGAGAGACUGCAGGCUACGGUUUGGAGCAGAAAGCCUUAUGGGUGUUUGUUUUUGUGAUUUUUGACUCAUAGAACAAUAAGACUAAGCAAAAAAUUGACUUUCUGAUAGUGUUACUUCUACUGUAGGUCAACACUCUGUGUUUUAUCAUUGAAUGAGUUAAUAUGUUCAGAUAAUAUAUUCAGAUUUGUAUGUGUUACAAUAAAAAAAUAUUCCGUACAGAAUCUGCAACCACAGGUUUCUUUAGGAUUCAAGCAUUAUUUGUUCACAAAAUUCUAUCCAAGUUCAAGUCUCAAAAUUAGAUUUUUGUUAAUUUUAGCACUAAUAUGCUACUGCAGAACUAAAUGUUCACAACACAAACUUGUAGUAAAUAUAUAUGUAUUUAAAUGCUCCAUUCUUUAUCUUCUGGGAAAACGGACCAAAAAUAAUUAUGACGUCAUCCUGCACCCACAGAUUCUAUUCAAUCAAUUGCUCUCAAGAACAACAAUGUUCCUCCCACGUAUUCAGCUGUGACAGACACUUGCUAUUUCAAUAAUAGUUAUUUACUGAACUAAUUAUGCUAUCUGCUUCAAAUAAAAGCUAUAUUUGCCAUGUUUACAUCCAUUCUGCAAAAUAAACCCACAAUUAGUGGGAAGUGUGAAAAAAUAUUUCGUUUGGUUUUGUAUGCAUACAUUAUUAUUGUUGUUAUUUUGAUGUUAACGAAAAAUCAUGUAUUGUCAUUAUAUAUUUUUGCUGUCCUUCCGUGUGUUUUUAUUUGAAAGGAAACUAAAGCAAAUUACUGAAUGCAUGUACGAGAAUGUAUGUAAAUUAAAUUCAAUUAAACAGUU